rnacentral:lncRNA from 14 species
GAUGCAGGGAUGGAGGGAUGCAGGAUGGGGCUGCAGUGACACAGAGCUGCAGGGUUGGGGGCAUGCAGGGCUGCAGGGCAGGGCUGCAGUGAUGGAGGUGGAGGGGUACAGGGAUGAAGGGAUGCGGGGAUGCAAUGAAACAGGGAUGGAGGGAAGUGGGGACACAGCUCACCCCUCUGAGCUGCCCGUGCCUCUGCCCCCAUCACCUCAUCACAGCAUCCAUCCGAAAUGGGGACAGGGGCUGGUUCAAGGGGCGAUUCCCAGCCCCCAAGUCACUGAGUUGGGGGCUGCCUGUGCUGCUCCAGCCCCUGUCCCUGCUGUCCCCUCUCGUGCCUGGCUCCGUAGGGGGGUCCUGGUGGCCUGGAGGGGCUGACCCAUGGGUUGAAGGUCAGGGCUCUGCUCUCAGACCCCUUUUCAGAUUCAAAUGGGCUCCCGGGGGCUUUGUGCGGGGUCAGACUCGGCAUGAAAGGGCCGGGGCAGCCGGGGCGGCCUCAGCGCUGGGUGCCAGGAGGAGGAGGAGGCAGCUGGGACCUGCUCGAGGGGUCCCCCUCGCUGACCCCCAGGGGCACCGGUGGGGAUGGGGUCCCAGUGCUGUCCUGCCUGCCAGGCUGCUGGCACAGCACAGCAUGGUAUGGUGCAGCAUGGCAUGGCACAGCACAGCAUGGUAUGGUGCAGCAUGGCACGAAGCAUUAUGGCACAGUGCAGCACAAUGUAGCAUGGCACAGCAUGGUGCAGGCUGGUGGGACCUCCCUGCUUUCCCACUGUCACCCCAAUGUAUACCCAGAAACCUGCAGCUCCCAUGGAGGGCUCCACAUACCAGUUCAUGACCCCACCAUUACAGCCUGCUCCCUGCCUCAGUUUCCCCUCUGCUGGGGCUACAAUAACCCCCUGGCACCCCCCGGUAGCAUGGCCCAAUGUGGGCUGCACCCCAUCCCUGGGAUUGUGGGUCCUGGGGGUCACGGUGGGGCANNNNNNNNNNNNNNNNNNNNNNNNNNNNNNNNNNNNNNNNNNNN